ensembl:lncRNA
GACGUGCAGCGCCAUUACCGGCGCCCGGCGCGGCUCCUCCCGUUGCGGCGGAGCUCGGCGCGAUGCUGGGGGUGGCGGCGGCGGGGCUGCCGGGCAGGUAGGACAGCGGCGUUCGCGCGUUGGGCGGGAACCUGACUUUGCUGCCCGGCGGUCGGAACAGGGAGCGGGGCGCGCCUCGUGCCGACCCGGCCUCGGCUCCGGUUCGCACGCAGCGCGGCUGGGCUGCGCUCCCGGGGAGCUGCUGUGAGCGGCCCGGGGGAAGGAGGCAGAAGAGAGAAGGGCUGACUUGAUGCCUCUCUCCGGACCCGCGCGGAGGAGCAGCAGACAUCUGGCCCGCAGGACUGUGCGCACGGUUCCUUACUAUUCUUUUUAGCUUCGAUAUUGUUUCUUUUCACAGAUGCUUUUUGCUCUCCGGGUACUGCAUCUGCGUUUGCUUUUGUAUUGCAAGGGACCUACUGCUGCAACCCGAGCGCCCAUAGAACAGGGGUGCUGCCGUGGGGGCUCGGCAGUGGGUGGCUGCGAGGGGCGUGCAGCUUUAUGGCUGUCCCCGUGUUGUAGAUUGAUUCAAAGGCAGCCAGCGUUCAACAUCUGAGCGUGAGUUGUGGCUGUGCGGUGCCUGGGCUGAGAGCGCCUGAGUUGUUGGGGGUAUUUUUUGUGGGGGGAGCACAGGCUGCAUUCUGUGGGCAGCCUUUCCAGGUGGUUGCAUUGAACUCAGCUGGGUGUGCUAUUGCCGGGAUACGUUCCUUACGGGAUUCAGAGGGAAACAUCAGCUUGCAGUUUAGAGUCUUCUAUUAUCUUAAGCGUUUGUAGUUUCCUCGUGGAAACCAAGUUUUUCUUUGUCAUAAUAGAUGAUCAGUAUUCUACUGCCUGCUUGCCUACAAAGCAAGCUCCUCUUUACUCGCAGAAUAACUGUAUUUGACAAACUGGCGUAGAUUCUCUGGAUAUCCAGCAUCUGUUUGUGUGAAGCUCACACCUGUGAGCACUCCGUAGUGCUGCUGGCUUUGGCAGGCAUUGGUAAGGGAAAUGAGAAGCUGUAGGUGAUACUGGAGUUGAACCUCAGCUGUAACCCAGUGUUUUUUUUCUUAGAAUGGGCUCCAGACAGGGGAACCGUUAACAGCCUGUAAUGCACGGAGCAUCACUUGCAUAGUUAACAAAUUCUUUUUCGAGUGACAAUAAAAUAUUUACUACAAAGCACUUAAGGCAAGCUUUUCGGCUCUUGCAAUUGUGGUUUCAUGCUAAGUGUGUUAGGCUUGGCAUCCGCAUUCAUCCGUGCUCUGUUUGCCCCAAAUCCUUGUAUAGAGACUUCUCGCUCUGUACUUUGGUACAGCCUUUUACUUCUUCCCAUUGUGGGGACGUAGUUGCAGUGAUCUGUGCUAAAAGCAGCUUGCCAGUUGGUGGGAAAGGUACUCGCGUAGAGUUUUUUGUGACAGCAGGUGCUGAUGACAAGGAAAAUCAGGAUGACAGUUGUGUUUUGACAGCUGAAGUCACGCAUUGUCUGAGCCCUUCAUAGCAUGUAUGCAGGCAGCGUGUUGUCUUUGUCAUUGCAGCAAUGUGCUACAGAGCUCACUGCCGAUACGGCUGGUGCACACGCUCUGGUGUUGAGGCGGAAGAGUGCUUUGAAAGAAUGAAAGAAGGCUGGGAACGUCCUAAUUCAACUUGACAAUUGGAGAAAGCAGAGCAGGAGACUGUGCCCCCGGGGGGAAAUACUUUUCUGCAAAUUAGGACACUCCUUUGCAAUUACUUCAGCGCUUCCCCUUCCUGAAGUGUCAAAAUCUUUCUGGAAAUACCUACUUAGUUCUUUUAAACAGAUAGAAAGAAAAAAGAAAGUCAAGGUACUGUCAUUUGCAUGGCUGGUUUUGCGUGCCUCAACAGCCCUUCAUGUGGAACAGCUAAAUGGGUUUCUCUCUGGGCGUGAAGACCAUCAGCAAAUCCCAGAACCUGGUGGUCUAUCUAGCAUCGAGCUCUCUGUGAGCCACGUGGACCUCCUGUCCACAUCUGAAACUGCCUUCCUGCUGCACUGGGAAGUAUGUCAGUGGUCUGGCGCGCCUCUCCUAGGCUGCAUGAGUAUCAUUACCCAAGAUGAGGCCUUACGCUCUGCGUUUUUCAUGUUAAUUGCUUUUCCUUAUGUUGUUGUUGAUUUCCAGCUCUUAGCAUUUUUUUCUAUCACUUCCUAACUCGUUUAAAAAAAAGAAACAACAUACUAUCCAGUUCUAAAAAAAUCUAAUAAGGAGGUGAAUCCUACAUCAGCCCCAGUGCAUUUAGAGUUGUUACAACCCUCGCUUGUAUUAAAUAGUUUGAGGAACUGAGCAGUGCACACUUGUAGGUAGGCUUUUGAUUGACCGAAACCUAAACUGGUGGGAAUAGUUUAGUUAAAGCCUUGGGAUUUAUUACUCAUGUCAUGGGUGGGGAGUUGGUGUGGCUAAUUGGGGAAACUAAGGCCAUGUAAUGACUUUAUGAAGGUUUCCUGGGUGGUCUGAGCAGUCAGGGGAAGCAGUUGUGCUUAGAAUUAGAAGGAUUUUCUGUACUAACGCAUUGUUUUGCUGUGGUUAGGGGCACUGGGAAAGGAGCAGCAAAGCAGUGGAGCAACACCAGAAAAUAUUUGGGAGGAAACAACAUGGCUGAGUGGCUGCAGUCCAGGCCCCAUGCAGGCAUACAGCAGCUGAGGGGUUGGUACGGGGGAAGAAGACUGCAUCCAGAAAUGGCCUCAGAGGUGCUCUGGGGAGCAGGGGGUGGGGAGAGGCGGGGCUGUAGGCCCUCCCAUCCCUGGCAUACUUGUCCACUGGCUCAGGAAGGCAUGGCAAGGCCUGGAUGCAGCCCAGCAGGCUCAGGACUGAAUCAGCCGAGCAGAAUCUGCUGCGAGAAGCAAUCUAGCAUGAGGAAAUGCUUCCAAACAGGAGCGUAUUUCUGCUUACAGAUGGAAACCACCCGCUUCUGAACUUCUGUGUCGGUAGCAGUGGAGGCUUGCGUUUUGCGGCCGGGAGACAGACAUGUGUGCUAGAUUAAGUCCCUUGUUUUUGCCAGGUCCUGCUGGUAAGUAGGGCGAGGCUCUCUCUGUGGUAACUGCUUCCCAGCCCCAGGUCUGCCAGGCUCCAAGAAGCCGGACGCAUCGUCCUGAAGUAGACCAGGGCCCUGCUCCCCUGGAGGCACAGUUACGUGGGAGCUGGUGCAGCUGGAAACUGAUGGCUAGACAGAGGAGUAGAUAGCACAUAAUCAUAGAAUGGCUUGGAUGGGACCUUAAAGAUCAUAUAAUUACAUCCCCCUGCCAUGGGCAGGGCUGCCCCCCUCCUGCUCAGGCUGCCCAGGACCCCAUCCAACCUAGCCUUGAGUGCCUCCAGGGAUGGGGCACCACAGCUUCUCUGGGCAGCUGUGUCAGCACCUCACCGCCCUCUGAGUAAAGAAUUCCUGCCUAGCAUUUAACCAAAAUCUCCCAUCUUUUAGUUUAAAACCAUUCCCCCUUGUCCUAUCACUGUAUGCCAAUGUAGUAAGUUGAUCUCCAUAUGCUCCCUUUAGAAACUGGAAGGCUGCAAUGAGAUUUCCCUGGAACCUUCUCUUCUCCAAGCUAAGCAAGCCCAACUCCUCCAACUUUUCUUCAUAUGAGAGAUGCUCCAGCUCUCUGAUCACCCUCCAGCCCUCCUCUGGAUCUACUCCAACAGGUCCACAUCUUUCUUGUGUUGAGGGCCCCAGAGCUGGAUGCAGUACUCCGAGUGGAGUAGAUUGAAAUCCAGGUUGGUUUGAUCUGGGCUGAUUCCUUGAUUUUUGAGACUAAUGGUGAUGUUGGGGUGGAUAGGAGAUACUCUGACAAGAGGAAUGUGGUUGUCUGUCAAGUGGGGUAUGUCUGCAACACUUUUACACACACACUCAGAAAACAACAGUGUUUUCGUGCCUCCCGUCCUUCCUUUUGUGAGAGUAUGCAGUUGCAAGAGAGAGGCAAUACUCUGGUUAUAUUAAAAAGAAAUCAAAGGGGAUAAUUUUAAAGCUGCUGUUACUGAGAAAAAGCUGACUUCCAAAAUCUUUGUUCCUUCAUUCACAUUUUUUCCUUUUUGUUAGCCAGCCUCAGGAAAUGAGUACAUUCUUUUGGUUUUCCAUGGCUGAGUCAUAUUAUACAUAUAUAUCCACAUAUAAAAAAAUGUGUUGAAACAUCUGGAGAUGUUCACUUCAGAGGUCGUUUUUUUUUUUUGCAUUAUGUUCUUUAAGCUUUAAAUGUUCGUACAUAGUUGGAUGUUUCCGGAGUUUCCCAUCUUUCUUUGGCUACAGGAAUAUGGAUAUUGCUGUCAGAAAAGCCUAGGGAAAUAUGCUGAUAGCUUAGGGAACAUACAAACAAGUGGAAGUAAAGCCUUUAAAAAAUGUAACUAUCGAAGUGGAUGUUUAAUGUCAGUUGCAUCCGAAUUUGUAGCUCUUUGAUGU